ensembl:lncRNA
GUCACGGUGGUCCACCUGCAUGUGGCUCUCCAGGUCCUCCGCGCUCUCAAACUUGACGCUGCAUUCGGGGCAGCGGAGGCCGGCGCAGGGCCGGUCGGCAGGCUCGGGCGGGGCCAGGCCGCCCACCUGUCCGUUGGAGCUGCGGGCCAUGCAGCCAGCGCAGAGGCCGUAGGGGAGCCCGUUGACGUCGAGCUUCACCAGGUCCUGCUUGCUGCGGAACUCUUUGAGGCACAGGGCACACUUGUAGAGCUUCUGCAGCCCCUGGCCGUUGGGGGAGGACGCGGCCGAGCUGCCCGCCAGCUUCUGCAUGUGGAAGGUGCCGUGGAUCUUGAGCUCGAGCGUGGAGGUGACCGUCUGCAUGCAGACCACACAGCGGAAGCCCGUGAGGGAGUUGCGCAGGUCGGGGUGCAUCUGGCAGUGCUCGAUGAACUCCUCCUCGCUCUGCAGGGGCAUCUUGCAGAUGCGGCAGGUGCCCGUGUCCAGGCUCUUGCUGUGGGUCACCUUGNNNNNNNNNNNNNNNNNNNNNNNNNNNNNNNNNNNNNNNNNNNNNNNNNNNNNNNNNNNNNNNNNNNNNNNNNNNNNNNNNNNNNNNNNNNNNNNNNNNGCGGCAGGUGCCCGUGUCCAGGCUCUUGCUGUGGGUCACCUUGUGCUCGGUGAGCGUCAGCAGCGAGGGGAAGCGCUCGCCGCAGAUGGGGCACAUGUAGUGCUUGGCGGGGCCCCGGUGAGUCUGCAGGUGCUCCCGGAGCCCGUUCUCCGAGAAGAAAGUCCGCGAGCACACGUUGCACUUCUUGCUGUGCGUGGUGAUGUGGCACUGCAGCUCCACCUCGGUGCCGAAGGACUCGCCGCAGAAGAUGCACUUGUGGGCCCUGGCCGGGUUGCCCAGGUGGCUGUGCUUGACGUGCACCUGCAGGUCGGCCUCCUUGCGGAAGUCCCAGUUGCAGGCCGUGCAGCGGAACAUCUUCUUCUCAUUGCUGUGCUUCACCGCCAGAUGCACCUGGAUGGACACCUUGGAGUCGAAGACCUCCUGACACAGCGUGCAGUGGUAGAGCACGAAGGUGUGCAUGUCCAGCAGGUGCUUCUGCAGGUCGUCCACCGAGGAGAACUGCUUGUCGCAGCUCUCGCACACGUAGUGGGUGGACGUGGUCAUGUAGUGCACGGUCAGGUGCUGCAGCAGGGACUCCUGCGAGUCGAAGUCCUCCUUGCACUGGGGGCACGCCUGCUUCCGCAGCAGCAGCUCCAGGUGCAGCUUCAGGUGGGUCUGGAAGCUCUCAAAGUUGGAGAACUUGAGGUCGCACUGGUUGCACGGGUACUCGCCGUUGGAGAUGGAGUUGGCGCUCGCCGAGAGCCGCUGCCGCUUCGGGGAAGACACCUCCACGUCCGACGAGACCGGGCUCUGUUCCGCCUUGGACUUCUUACUGUGGGCCAGCGGGAUGUUCUUGUGGUUCUCCUUGAUGUGCUUGGUGAGCUUCAGGAUGGAGCCGAAGAUGGGCGAGUUGGUGCAGUAGGGGCAGGAGUAGACCUCCAUGAAGGACUGCGUGGGCUGCACGACCGGGGACUCCAGUUUGGCACUGCCCACGCUGCAGUGGGCCUGCUGGAUGUGCUCCGUGAGGGAGGACUCGGUCAGGAAGCCCAUGGAGCAUUGGUUGCAAAAGAAGGCGUUGUUGCCGUCGGGCGGGUUGGCGUUGGGGCCGCAGUGGGAGACCCGGAUGUGCUCCUGCAAGCUGUUGAUGUCAGCAAACAUCUCGGGGCAGUAGUUGCAGUGGAAGGCGGAGAUGCUGCCGAACUGCAUUACGGGGUACGCAUGGUUCUUGUGCAGCUUGCGGACGUGCUCGUUGAGGUUGUAGAGGGUGGGCAUGGAGUCCAGGCAGAUCUGACACGUGUGGCUCUGCUGCGGCUUAUCCGCAUGGAUGGUCUUCAGGUGGAUCUCCAGCACGGCCAGGCUGUUGAAGUCCCGCUUGGAGCAGUAGGGGCAGCUGUACACCACCUUGGACCAGCCCUGCCCGUCAUCCCGCAUCUUCUUCUGGCCCCGCAGCGGCUUCAAGGUGGAGUCCGGGGUGGAGCCUCGCUCAACGGAGGCGCUGGAGUCUGGUGUGGCGCUGCUCAUAGAGGCCACGCUGCCCAGCACGGGGUCGGGGCUGACGCUGUGGUUGCUGGAAUCGGGCUGCCGGUGGCUGUCCAGGUGGCAGUAGACGCCCUCCACGGAGGAGAACUGCUCGGGGCACAUGGGGCACUUGUGUUUCUGGUUGGCGUGGGCUUGGUGGAUGUGGGCGAGCAGCGUGUUCUCGUCGACAAAGACCUCGGGGCAGUGGAUGCACUGCAGGUCGGCCUUCUCGGAGAGCUGGGGGUGGCGGGUGAGCACGUGCUUCUCCAGCUCCUCGGUCUGGCUGAAGGUGUCCUCGCAGUAGUCGCACAUGAAGUCGUCCUUCUUGGCCUCCUUCUCCGACUUGGCCAGGUGCUCCUUGUUCUUCUUGUGGGCCUGCAUGUGGCUCUGCAGCGAGCUGGUGGAGGAGAAGCCGCGCUUGCAGACGGUGCACUUGAAGGGCUUGCUGGAGCUGUGGGUCUUCAGGUGGAUCUUGAGGUGGUCGCUGCGGGAGAAGGCCGCCUCGCACUCGUGACAGUGGUACUUCUUGUCGCCCGUGUGCAGCUUGAUGUGCCGGUCGCGGCUCCUCUUGUGCUUGAAGAGGCGGCUGCAGUAGGUGCACUUGAACGGCAGCUUGUCGCUGUGGAUCUGUUCGUGCCUCUUCAAGUAGCUCAGGCGGAUGAAGGACUUGUCGCAGAACUGGCAAGGGUACGGCAGGCCCGUGCCCCCUUCCUCCUCACCCAGGCCCAGGUCACACCCAUCUCCGAUCAUCUGCGUGGGUGA